rnacentral:rRNA from 1 species
UACGGAGGGUGCAAGCGUUAAUCGGAAUUACUGGGCGUAAAGCGCACGUAGGUGGUUUGUUAAGCCAGCUGUGAAAUCCCCGGGCUCAACCUGGGCACUGCAGUUGGAACUGGCAAGCUAGAGUUGGGUAGAGGGGUGUGGAAUUCCAGGUGUAGCGGUGAAAUGCGUAGAUAUCUGGAGGAAUACCGGUGGCGAAGGCGGCAUCCUGGACCGGCAUUGACGCUGAGGAGCGAAAGCCAGGGGAGCAAACGGG